GACGAACGCUGGCGGCGUGCUUAACACAUGCAAGUCGAACGGAAAGGCCCUGCUUUUGUGGGGUGCUCGAGUGGCGAACGGGUGAGUAACACGUGAGUAACCUGCCCUUGGCUUUGGGAUAACUUCAGGAAACUGGGGCUAAUACCGGAUAGGAGCUCCUGCUGCAUGGUGGGGGUUGGAAAGUUUCGGCGGUUGGGGAUGGACUCGCGGCUUAUCAGCUUGUUGGUGGGGUAGUGGCUUACCAAGGCUUUGACGGGUAGCCGGCCUGAGAGGGUGACCGGCCACAUUGGGACUGAGAUACGGCCCAGGCUCCUACGGGAGGCAGCAGUGGGGAAUAUUGCACAAUGGGCGGAAGCCUGAUGCAGCAACGCCGCGUGCGGGAUGACGGCCUUCGGGUUGUAAACCGCUUUCGCCUGUGACGAAGCGUGAGUGACGGUAAUGGGUAAAGAAGCACCGGCUAACUACGUG
rnacentral:rRNA from 1 species